rnacentral:rRNA from 1 species
GUCUUUUUGAGUUAUUUUUAAAGUCUGACCUGCCCACUGAGUAAAUUUUAAAUGGCCGCAGUAUUUUAACUGUGCAAAGGUAGCAUAAUCAUUAGUCUUUUAAUUGAAGGCUGGUAUGAACGGUUGGACGAAGUAUAAGCUGUUUCAUAUAAAAUUAUAUUUGAAUUUUAUUUUUUAGUAAAAAAGCUAAAAUUUUAUUAAAAGACGAGAAGACCCUAUAAAUCUUUAUAUUUUAUUUUAUAUAAGUUUUUUUGAUUGAUUUUAUUUUUAUAUUUUUAAAUAUUUUAUUGGGGUGAUAUUAAAAUUUAAGAAACUUUUAAUUAAUAAUAAAUCAUUAAUUUAUGAGUUAUUGAUCCAUUAUUAGUGAUUAAAAAAUUAAGUUACUUUAGGGAUAACAGCGUAAUUUUUUUUGAGAGUUCAUAUCGAUAAAAAAGUUUGCGACCUCGAUGUUGGAUUAAGAUAUAUUUUUAGGUGUAGCUGCUUAAAUGUGAAGUCUGUUCGACUUUUAAAUACUUACAU